GCCCUUGUGGCCUCCCGCGCCGGGCUCCCUCCUGCGCCCCACCACCUCCGGCAUCCUCUCUACCUCCAGUGCCCAGGUUCCCUGCGGAGCAGAGCGCGCGCUCCCCUUAGCGGGGAGGAGACCUCGGCGUCCUCCAGACUCCCGAGCGCCUCGGACAGUCUGUCCGCAGGGCUUGGAGGACUUUGGCUGCGAGGUUGUUUCUCGGAUCCGGCAGCCUUGCAGAGUGUGUGUAAAACCCUUCCCCCGUCAAGAGGGGACCCAGCCAGCCCGCGCCCUGCCAGCUCGGGGGAUCGGAGGCGGGUGUGAGUGGUUAGAGGAAACUUUCCAGCAGAGCGCCUUGCCCGAGCAAACCGCGCAUCUGUCAAGAACGCUCUCUGGGCGCUCUUGCAAGGAGCUUCUGUUGUUCCAGUGCGGUAGACGCAGAAAGGAAGCGAAGGUUUGUGCAUCUGACAGCUAACGCUGAGGACCAGUUGGAAAAUCACACACUCCUCAGCCCCAGCUAAUGAAUAUCACCACCAGCACCACCAGCCCAACUACAGAUCACGGCAUAAAGCAGAAAAAUCUUCAUUCUGUGCAAAACCAAGGGUGGCAAAGAAGGCAGCUUCCAAUCAGUGGAAAUGGAAUAAUUGAAUAAAUGUGUUCUUUUUUAAAAGCGAGAGGAUGUAGUAAAGAAUCUAAUUUGGACAGAUGACAAGGAGAAUGACUUCUCAUAGUUCAACGCUAAAGAUGACCCCCCAAAUAAGUAGCACCCAGACACUGGUGAGAACAGUCACCUUUCUUGUAGGAUUACAGCUGGCCACAAAGUCACGAGUGCCACCGGCUGAAUGUGGUCAGAUCAAGUUCCCGUGUGUGCUGAUUCCUCAGUCGUUAAGCAGAUCUUUACUGAGCCGUCCUACGCACUCUUCGAAAGCAGUGAGAGCCCCAGAUUUUCCAGUUCAGCUUCGAGUCUGACACAGAAUCAAAUAAAGCCUGGAGCACUGUAGGGCUGAGAAAAGUG
rnacentral:lncRNA from 1 species